rnacentral:rRNA from 1 species
AGGGUUCGAUUCUGGCUCAGGAUGAACGCUAGCGAUAGGCCUAACACAUGCAAGUCGAGGGGCAUCACAUGGGGUAGCAAUACUUCUGGUGGCGACCGGCGCACGGGUGAGUAACACGUAUGCAACCUGCCUUCAACAAGGGCAUAACCCGUUGAAAGACGGACUAAUUCCCUAUGACACAGGGGUCCCGCAUGGGGAUAUUUGUUAAAGAUUUUAUCGGUUGAAGAUGGGCAUGCGUUCCAUUAGCUUGUUGGCGGGGUAACGGCCACCAAGGCAACGAUGGAUAGGGGAACUGAGAGGUUUAUCCCCACACUGGUACUGAGACACGGACCAGACUCCUACGGGAGGCAGCAGUGAGGAAUAUUGGUCAAUGGACGCAAGUCUGAACCAGCCACGUCGCGUGAAGGAAGACGGCCCUACGGGUUGUAAACUUCUUUUAUACGGGAAUAAAGUGCCCCACGUGUGGGGUUUUACAUGUACCGUAUGAAUAAGGAUCGGCUAACUCCGUGCCAGCCGCCGC